rnacentral:other from 1 species
CAUACCCUGCUGUGUUCGUGAUGGUGUACUAAUGGUUCUGGGCCAACACUUACCAACUGGGGUUCAAUCUCUGGGUGACGAUGCGAUAGGCUUGAGCCAAGGCUGAGUUCCCCGGUAGGACCUCGACCUGCUUUUGCAGGUUCAGAACUUCGCACCACACGGCAUGAGCGGGGUCUUC